rnacentral:rRNA from 1 species
UACGUAGGUGGCAAGCGUUUGUCCGGAUUUAUUGGGUUUAAAGGGUGCGUAGGCGGUCCCAUAAGUCAGUGGUGAAAUACUCUAGCUUAACUAGAGGGGUGCCAUUGAUACUGUGGGACUUGAGUAGAGUUGAAGUGGCGGAAUUGACGGUGUAGCGGUGAAAUGCUUAGAUAUCGUCAAGAACACCGAUAGUGAAGACAGCUCACUAAGCUCAAACUGACGCUGAGGCACGGAAAAGUGUGGGGAUCAAACAGG